CGUCCUAUUAGUUAGUUGGUAAGGUAACGGCUUACCAAGACAGCGAUAGGUAGGGGUCCUGAGAGGGAGAUCCCCCACACUGGUACUGAGACACGGACCAGACUCCUACGGGAGGCAGCAGUGAGGAAUAUUGGACAAUGGGCGGGAGCCUGAUCCAGCCAUGCCGCGUGCAGGAAGACUGCCCUAUGGGUUGUAAACUGCUUUUACAGAGGAAGAAACACCCCUUCGUGAGGGGGUUUGAUGGUACUCUGCGAAUAAGGAUCGGCUAACUCCGUGCCAGCAGCCGCGGUAAUACGGAGGAUCCAAGCGUUAUCCGGAAUCAUUGGGUUUAAAGGGUCCGUAGGCGGGGAGGUCAGUCAGUGGUGAAAGUCUGCAGCUCAACUGUAGAACUGCCAUUGAUACUGCUUUCCUUGAGUAAUUAUGAAGUGGUUAGAAUAUGUAGUGUAGCGGUGAAAUGCAUAGAUAUUACAUAGAAUACCGAUUGCGAAGGCAGAUCACUAAU
rnacentral:rRNA from 1 species